rnacentral:rRNA from 1 species
CGUAGGGUGCGAGCGUUGUCCGGAAUUAUUGGGCGUAAAGAGCUCGUAGGCGGUCUGUCGCGUCGGCUGUGAAAACCCGGGGCUCAACCCCGGGCCUGCAGUCGAUACGGGCAGACUAGAGUGCGGUAGGGGAGACUGGAAUUCCUGGUGUAGCGGUGAAAUGCGCAGAUAUCAGGAGGAACACCGGUGGCGAAGGCGGGUCUCUGGGCCGUAACUGACGCUGAGGAGCGAAAGCGUGGGGAGCGAACAGG